rnacentral:tRNA from 1 species
AAGUAUUGAAGUAAAAUUUAUUACAUUUAGUUUCGACCUAAUAUUUCAGAAUUAGUAUUCCGUACUUA